rnacentral:rRNA from 1 species
GUGGGGAAUAUUGGGCAAUGGACGCAAGUCUGACCCAGCAACGCCGCGUGAAGGAAGAAGGCUUUCGGGUUGUAAACUUCUUUUAAGGGGGAAGAGCAGAAGACGGUACCCCUUGAAUAAGCCACGGCUAACUACGUGCCAGCAGCCGCGGUAAUACGUAGGUGGCAAGCGUUGUCCGGAUUUACUGGGUGUAAAGGGCGUGCAGCCGGAGAGGCAAGUCAGAUGUGAAAUCCGCGGGCUCAACCCGCGAACUGCAUUUGAAACUGCUUCCCUUGAGUAUCGGAGAGGUAACCGGAAUUCCUAGUGUAGCGGUGAAAUGCGUAGAUAUUAGGAAGAACACCAGUGGCGAAGGCGGGUUACUGGACGACAACUGACGGUGAGGCGCGAAAGCGUGGGGAGCAAACAGG